UACGGGGGGGGCAAGCGUUGUUCGGAAUUAUUGGGCGUAAAGGGCGCGUAGGCGGCUAGAUGUGUCAAAGGUGAAAUCCCUCGGCUCAACUGAGGAACUGCCUUUGAAACUGUCUGGCUUGAGGCCGGGAGAGGGUAGCGGAACUCCCAGUGUAGCGGUGAAAUGCGUAGAUAUUGGGAGGAACACCAGUGGCGAAGGCGGCUACCUGGACCGGUUCUGACGCUGAGGCGCGAAAGCGUGGGUAGCAAACAGG
rnacentral:rRNA from 1 species